CUGAAGAUAAAUCAGGUGAGGCCCCAUCCAGCCCGCUCCUCCACAGGCAGCUCCUAUUAGAGCAUCUUUAUUUCCCCACCUGAAGCCCUCUCGCCCUUCCAAGAGACAGGAGUCAGAUGAGGUCUUAGAUCUGCCCAAUCUAUCUUUGUCUCCUUUGUCCUUGUGAGGAAGCUCCUGCCAUUGAAGAUUGAUGGAAAUGCUUCAAAGAUUUCACCAGAAAGCAUAAUGGCUUGGUUUUAAAUACAUCUUAUAAAAAACAAAAACAGACAACAACAACAACAACAAACUGAGGUCUGGAUGAUGGGAUGAGCCAGCCACACCAAAAGGCAGGGGAAGAGCAUUUCAUUUAGCAGUAAGUCAAGAAAGAAAAGGGCGACCAGUGUGAAGCCUUGGUGACUGUGGGGCAGGGUGGAUG
rnacentral:lncRNA from 1 species